rnacentral:misc_RNA from 1 species
CUCACACCACAUCUGCAGCAGCCUACCGUACUCACACGCUUCACACCAACACACUUCACACCACCACGACAAGACACGGCACGGCGAACGGGACAUGGCCUAGAAAGUUGCGAAAACUAGUCCCGCGGCUGCAGUGCUUUAUUUUUUUUCAUGAGGUUGCGGGAGUUUUUCGACGUUUUUUUCGUGUUUUUUGAUGUUUUCUCGUCGUUUUUUCUUGUUUUCUUCGUUAAAAAUUGAAAUAAAAAUAAUAUUUUCAGCGAAAGACCACAAAUCGCCGCAAAAAUCGACCGCAUCAUCCGCGAAAAGGCGAAAAACGUCAAAAAAUGACAAAAGUAUACUUCAAACAAAAAAGAAAAGAAAAAUCUUGUGCAGGCCUUCUUUUAGCAAAUGCCCAGAGAGCAAGGAACAGUGCUAAUGGAGUUUCAAAAGAUCAAACUGAAGAGGAAGAACUGAACAAUUCGAAAGUGGAGACGUGCAGCUCGUCGCCACAGGCUAAUCAGGAAAUCAGUUCAGAAGAUCGAAACUCCCACCAUCCCGACAUUGCUUCCAGUAGCUCCGCAACUACAUGCAGGUCGUCAAAUUGUUUCAAUAUGGAUGAAGGAAUUCUGACGAGAGACGUGGAAAUGGAUUUUAGUGACGAAAUUCCGACUUUUUCUCACAAUGUAAUUUUUUUCAAUAUUUCAAAACUAAUAUUAUAUGAUUUUGCUGAGAUUCUCCAAUCCCGUAUUUCCACCGACACCUUUACGAAACUCGUUCAGUACACCGAGGGUUCGAAUAAUCUCCAAUGUUGAGCAAAUUCCGCAGAUCAAAAUGCUCCGACUAACGAUCGAACGACUGAAAAAUGAAAAAAAUGAAAUAUCAGAAGAAAUACAAAAGCGGAUUGAUGAGUUUGCGGUGUUUUCGGAAGAAAUGCAAAUAGUCCGCCAUGAAAAUAUCACUAUAAGAGCAUCUAAUUCUUCGCUGCAAAUGGAAGUAUGCAAUAUACGAACGAUCGUCAGUGGUAUAGAAGGUCGAUUGGUGAGAAGCUGUGCAGAUGUGAAGAAAAGUGGCAAAGCUAUGGUUCUGAGUCUACAAAGACACGCCGAAGAAGUUGAAAACCUUAAAAAAUCAGCUUUUAAAGUUAAUAUUUCGAAUCUAAGAAGCAAAAGUUGUAUCAAAAAUCGAUUUCGCAAAGCUCUUCACUUGCUUCAACACGAAAUCUGCCUCGAGGAUGACGUCGGACAAUUUAUUCGAAAAUUCACAAAAUUCCUGAAUUCAGAAGAGAAUCAAAGCUACAAAAACAAGCUUUCAAACUUUGAGGCCGUUGACUUUUUAUCAAAAUGCGGAUUAUCUCUAAGUCAGAUGGAAAAAAUCAAAAACUAUUUGACUAAUGCCAUUGGCUAUGAUUUGCUUCCAUCGGUAAAGAACACAAGAGAUUUGUCAAUCCAGUUAUCAAUGAUCUCCAGUUUCAAAGUUUCCACUUCGUUCGACAAUAAAGGAAAAGUGAUUACCAUUGUGCAGUGCAUGAAAAUUGCAGAAGUUUUAGCCUAUCGAAUAGAGCUUCUAUGCAAUUCAAAUCAAUUUGUGGACGACGGAUACACGAAAGGAGUAAUCAAGAUUGGAGUCGUUGGUGACGCUGGAGGUGGAAGCACAAAGUUGGCAUUGGUAAUCGGAAACGUAUCUCGACCGAAUUCUUCGAGACACGUUAUGGUAAUUGCAGUAUAUGACGGAUCCGACAAUUAUUCGUCUCUGAAAAAAUUCAUUCCGGACGUUCUUGAGCAGCUUGGCAAGCUAACGAAAAUUUGAUAUUUGGACAAAGGAGUUCAAAAAACCGCAAAAAUUGUGCAAAUUGCAACUGGAGAUUGCAAGUUUCAAUCUGAUAUUCUUGGACACCAAGGACAUUCAUCCCACAAUUUCUGCUUCAAAUGUUUUGCACAGAAUCCACGGGGAGCUGAAGAGAGGAUGAAAAUCAAGGAUAUGAAUGUUGAUGAAACAUUCCACCCACGAACAAUCGAUCUUUACAAAGCUUGUUGUGAAAAUGGCGACUUGGGUGUUCGCAAAGGAUGUACUCCACUUCUGCCACACGUUGCGAUCAUGUUCUAUUUGAUUCCUCUUCUGCACAUUAUCAUGGGUAUUUUUGACAAAUAUAUCUUCAAUCCCCUCUGGAAAUAUUCUGAUACUUUGGAUAACACUACUUCUUUUCCUAUCCUGAAAACACGAAAAGCAACUCUAAAAAACGCUGUUAACCUAAUUAAAAGUGCGGAAGAAAAGUAUCAAGGAGCCACCGGAAAGAUGAAAUUGGAGUCGCAUGCUGAACUGAAAGCACUUCAAUCGGAAAAAUUGUUGCUCGAUACAAUUGUGAAUGGUACUCCCGAAGGAACACUUGAAAAAAUGGGACAGUGUUGGGCUAAGUUUGGAGCGGACAAGCAGGCUUGGUUCCAAUCAUUUUGCGGAAACCAUUUGAAAUUGCUGCUAACGCCGGCUGUUGUAGAGGAGACUUUCAACAUUUUUGGCCCAAAUUUAUGCCCAAUGUUGCUCGGAUUGAAAUCAGCAAUGGGAAAGCUUUCAACUAUUAUGUCACUUUCGGGAAACAAGUUUUUAAAUGAUUCCGACGUCUUAAUACUUCAAAAUUCGAUUCGCGGAUUUGUGGAGGAUUUGAAAGUAGCGGUUCCCGAAGAAACAAUUAUUUUAAAGCUGCACUUGUUGGUCUACCAUGCACCACAAAUGGCAAAAGAUGUGAGAAACAUUGGAAGGAUCACAGAACAAGGAGUUGAAUCUGUCCACGCGAUUUUCAAUGCACUUGAGAGGAGAUUUUGCAAUUACCGGGACAAGAAAAGGCGUUACAUCCAUGUUCUGAGAGAGCUCAUGUGUCGUAACAUCAUGAAUGACAUGACUAUGGUAAUUUUGAACACGUCCAUUCCCGGUCUUUCCAUCGUACCAAAAGAUGCAACAGUUCUGCCAAUUUCUUCGCAAAAUGAUCUUCGGGACCCAAAAGCAGUUAUUCGGGACGUCACGGCUGCCCAAAAAAGAAAAAAUUUAGCGAAAAAAAAAAUCAAUUUUCGCUCCAGGAAAAGGCUUCCACAAUCGACAAAAUCUCGAAAUGCUGUGCCCGACUUCUCACAAAACGUACAAACUUCUAUUGCAUUUGGAGGCAAUUCAACGAAAAUUGGAUUCCGUGGUCUACCGAGUAAUGCUCUUUCUCGUCCGAACCCGGUGGCAAUCACACAAACUUGCUCGACAAGCCAGCCAAUCACUAGAAGCCAUCCACUUGUUGCUCCACCAGUAUCCUAUCAACUUCCGAAAUGCAGUAAUAGUUUAGCUGAAAAAAUUCGAGUAAGUUGUGGGCAAGCAAGAAGGAGUGCUGCAGAAUCUUCUUCGACUGAAAGCCACGUGGACACAAAUUCGAAGAAGAAAGUUUACAGAAUAAAAUUCGUCCAAAAAAGUCGUGAAAUUCCGAAGAAAAAGUAAUA